GAUGUCGGCUCAUCACAUCCUGGGGCUGAAGUAGGUCCCAAGGGUAUGGCUGUUCGCCAUUUAAAGUGGUACGCGAGCUGGGUUUAGAACGUCGUGAGACAGUUCGGUCCCUAUCUGCCGUGGGCGUAGGAUGAUUGAUUGGGGCUGCUCCUAGUACGAGAGGACCGGAGUGGACGCAUCACUGGUGUUCCAGUUGUCUCGCCAGAGGCAUUGCUGGGUAGCUAAAUGCGGAAGAGAUAAGUGCUGAAAGCAUCUAAGCACGAAACUUGCCAAGAGAUGAGUCAUCCCUGACUUUAAGUCAGUAAGGGUUGUUGUAGACUACGACGUAGAUAGGUCUAGUGUGUAAGUGUAGUGAUACAUUGAGCUAACAGAUACUAAUUGCCCGAGAGGCUUAACUAUACAACGCUCAAG
rnacentral:rRNA from 1 species